rnacentral:rRNA from 1 species
CCUACGGGAGGCUGCAGUGAGGAAUAUUGGUCAAUGGACGAGAGUCUGAACCAGCCAAGUAGCGUGAAGGAUGACUGCCCUAUGGGUUGUAAACUUCUUUUAUAUGGGAAUAAAAUGUUCCACGUGUGGGAUUUUGUAUGUACCAUAUGAAUAAGGAUCGGCUAACUCCGUGCCAGCAGCCGCGGUAAUACGGAGGAUCCGAGCGUUAUCCGGAUUUAUUGGGUUUAAAGGGAGCGUAGGUGGAUUGGUAAGUCAGUUGUGAAAGUUUGCUGCUCAACCGUAAAAUUGCAGUUGAAACUGGCAGUCGUGAGUACAGUAGAGGUGGGCGGAAUUCGUGGUGUAGCGGUGAAAUGCUUAGAUAUCACGAAGAACUCCGAUUGCGAAGGCAGCUCACUGGACUGCAACUGACACUGAGGCUCGAAAGUGUGGGUAUCAAACAGGAUUAGAUACCCUAGUAGUC